UCGGGACAACAAUAUACUGGGUAGAGGCUGAAUAUCUAGGAGUAGAAGGUGCAACCGGGCCGAGUCGAAUAGCUUGAGGUUGAAACUUGGCUCAAUCAAAAAAAAAAGAAGAAGGGUCAUACUCGAGUUCGACUCAACUCGAAUAUCAAUCGAGCCAUACUUGAGCUCGAGUUCGACCUCGAAUUAAAACUUUGCUCGUAAUUAAGAAAUAUAGUU
rnacentral:lncRNA from 1 species